GGGCUCGUAGCUUAGUUUGGUGGAGCGUUCGACUGAUAAUCGAAAGGUCGGGAGUUCAAACCGAAACCC
rnacentral:tRNA from 1 species